rnacentral:rRNA from 1 species
UACGGGGGGGGCAAGCGUUGUUCGGAAUUACUGGGCGUAAAGGGCUCGUAGGCGGCCAACUAAGUCAGACGUGAAAUCCCUCGGCUUAACCGGGGAACUGCGUCUGAUACUGGAUGGCUUGAGUUUGGGAGGGGGAUGCGGAAUUCCAGGUGUAGCGGUGAAAUGCGUAGAUAUCGGGAGGAAUACCAGUGGCGAAGGCGGCUUUCUGGCCUAUUCCUGACGCUGAGGAGCGAAAGCGUGGGGAGCGAACGGG